CGCUCGAUGCCUGCAUCAAGCCUAAUUGGCUCUUCUGUCAUAACGAUCUGCGUGUCACUGGGACGUCCAUCACCAUCGUGUCAUUCGGACGAAUGAAUGACAAACAAGAAACGAUUGCAUGUUUUGGUAUGUUCUGAGGAUCAACAAAUAAUCUUAUGUAAUUUAUGUAUGUUACACGCAUUUUUCACGGAAUAUGAUCACAGUAAGCCUGGAAGUGAUUUAAAGCUGUAUGAAAAUUACGAAAAGUGAGU